rnacentral:rRNA from 1 species
GACGAACGCUGGCGGCGUGCUUAACACAUGCAAGUCGAACGGAAAGGCCCUGCUUUUGUGGGGUGCUCGAGUGGCGAACGGGUGAGUAACACGUGAGUAACCUGCCCUUGACUUUGGGAUAACUUCAGGAAACUGGGGCUAAUACCGGAUAGGAGCUCCUGCUGCAUGGUGGGGGUUGGAAAGUUUCGGCGGUUGGGGAUGGACUCGCGGCUUAUCAGCUUGUUGGUGGGGUAGUGGCUUACCAAGGCUUUGACGGGUAGCCGGCCUGAGAGGGUGACCGGCCACAUUUGAACUGAGAUACGGCGCAGACUCCUACGGGAGGCAGCAGUAGGGAAGAGUGCACAAUGGGCUGGAGCCUGAGGCAGCAACGCAGCGUGCGGGAUGACGGCCUUCGGGUUGUAAACCGCUUUCGCCUGUGACGAAGCGUGAGUGACGGUAAUGGGUAGAGAAGCACCGGCUAACUACGUG